CCUACGGGAGGCUGCAGUAGGGAAUCUUCCACAAUGGACGAAAGUCUGAUGGAGCAACGCCGCGUGAAUGAAGAAGGCCUUCGGGUCGUAAAAUUCUGUUGUCAGAGAAGAACGUGCGUGAGAGUAACUGUUCACGUAUUGACGGUAUCUGACCAGAAAGCCACGGCUAACUACGUGCCAGCAGCCGCGGUAAUACGUAGGUGGCGAGCGUUGUCCGGAUUUAUUGGGCGUAAAGGGAACGCAGGCGGUCUUUUAAGUCUGAUGUGAAAGCCUUCGGCUUAACCGAAGUAGUGCAUUGGAAACUGGAAGACUUGAGUGCAGAAGAGGAGAGUGGAACUCCAUGUGUAGCGGUGAAAUGCGUAGAUAUAUGGAAGAACACCAGUGGCGAAAGCGGCUCUCUGGUCUGUAACUGACGCUGAGGUUCGAAAGCGUGGGUAGCAAACUGGAUUAGAUACCCGGGUAGUC
rnacentral:rRNA from 1 species